rnacentral:misc_RNA from 1 species
GAUGAAGAACGUAGCGAAAUGCGAUAAGUAGUGUGAAUUGCAGAAUUCAGUGAAUCAUCGAAUCUUUGAACGCACAUUGCGCCCCUUGGUAUUCCAUGGGGCAUGCCUGUUCGAGCGUCAUUUGUACCUUCAAGCUCUGCUUGGUGUUGGGUGAUUGUCUAUUCUUUGUAGACUCGCCUUAAAGUCAUUGGCAGCCGGCAUAUUGGCCUGGGAGCGCAGCACAAGUCACGCUUCUUGUCAUGAAUGUUGGCGUCCAGUAAGUCUACAUAUUUUUGCUCUUGACCUCGGAUCAGGUAGGGAUACCCGCUGAACUUAAGCAUAUCAAUAAGCGGAGGA